rnacentral:rRNA from 1 species
GAUGAACGCUAGGCUACAGGCUUAACACAUGCAAGUCGAACGGAGAGGACAGUGGGAGCUUGCUUCUAUGAAUCUUAGUGGCGAACGGGUGAGUAACGCGUAAUCAACCUGCCCUUCAGAGGGGGAUAACAACGGGAAACCGUUGCUAAUACCGCGUACGAUAUGCUUUCGGCAUCGAGAGUAUAUGAAAGGUGGCCUCUAUAUAUAAGCUAUCGCUGAAGGAGGGGAUUGCGUCUGAUUAGCUAGUUGGAGGGGUAACGGCCCACCAAGGCGAUGAUCAGUAGCCGGUCUGAGAGGAUGAACGGCCACAUUGGGACUGAGACACGGCCCAA